rnacentral:rRNA from 1 species
GAUGAACGCUGGCGGCGUGCCUAAUACAUGCAAGUCGAGCGAACAGACGAGGAGCUUGCUCCUCUGACGUUAGCGGCGGACGGGUGAGUAACACGUGGAUAACCUACCUAUAAGACUGGGAUAACUUCGGGAAACCGGAGCUAAUACCGGAUAAUAUAUUGAACCGCAUGGUUCAAUAGUGAAAGACGGUUUUGCUGUCACUUAUAGAUGGAUCCGCGCCGCAUUAGCUAGUUGGUAAGGUAACGGCUUACCAAGGCAACGAUGCGUAGCCGACCUGAGAGGGUGAUCGGCCACACUGGAACUGGGACACGGUCCAGACUCCUACGGGAGGCAGCAGUAGGGAAUCUUCCGCAAUGGGCGAAAGCCUGACGGAGCAACGCCGCGUGAGUUAUGAAGGUCUUCGGAUCGUAAAACUCUGUUAUUAGGGAAGAACAAAUGUGUAAGUAACUAUGCACGUCUUGACGGUACCUAAUCAGAAAGCCACGGCUAACUACGUG